rnacentral:tRNA from 1 species
UCUAAAUUAGCAGAAAUAGAAUGCAUUUGGCUUAGGUCCAAAAGGUGUGAGGUUAUCCACAUUUAGAA